UUUAAUUUAAAAUAUUUAUACAACCAUGGAAUGUGUUAGAAGCGGUAUACAAGAUCUUGAAUGUACUGCAGUUUGAGCAAGUAGGAGAAAAUUUAUAAAUGAGCUUCAAUUGAUAAAUAGUAAAAAAAAUGUGUACAUAUAAGCUAGUUGAAGCAUAUACGAAGCCCAGUUGUGUUUUCAUUUCAAUGCAAUAACACCAAACUAAAUAAAGCAAACACUGUGUACAUCGAGAAUGUUUAUAAAGCAAGAAUUAUAGCAAAAUUUUGAAAAUAAACGGCGUUCGACACGGAUGCAUAAAUAUUAAAGAAAAAAUAUGACGAAAAAUGAAACCACACAUAAUACAUAAUUACAAAUGACGGAUGUAUCUAAAUAUUCUAAUAAGAUAUGCGCAUAUGAUGAUAUGAUAUGUAAAUUAUAUGCUUACAUGUCUACUUAAAUAUAUGUAUGUACUAUGUAAUGCGUUCAUUAUAUAAUAAUAAUAUUGUUAUUUUCAAUA